GAUGAAGAACGUAGCGAAAUGCGAUAAGUAAUGUGAAUUGCAGAAUUCAGUGAAUCAUCGAAUCUUUGAACGCACAUUGCGCCCGCCAGUAUUCUGGCGGGCAUGCCUGUUCGAGCGUCAUUUCAACCCUUAAGCCCUGUUGCUUAGCGUUGGGAGCCUACAGUACUGUAGCUCCCCAAAGUUAGUGGCGGAGUCGGUUUCACACUCUAGACGUAGUAAUUUUUUCUCGUCUGUAGUUGAGCCGGUCCCCUGCCGUAAAACACCCAAUUUAUCAAGGUUGACCUCGGAUCAGGUAGGAAUACCCGCUGAACUUAAGCAUAUCAAUAAGCGGAGGA
rnacentral:misc_RNA from 1 species